rnacentral:rRNA from 1 species
CCCUACGGGGGGCAGCAGUGGGGAAUAUUGGGCAAUGGGCGCAAGCCUGAACGAGCAAUGCCGCGUGAACGAGGAAGGUCUUCGGAUCGUAAAGUUCUGUUGAAGGGGAAAAAGAGCGGAGAGAGGAAAUGAACUCCGAUUGAUAUUACCCUUCGAGGAAGUCACGGCUAACUACGUGCCAGCAGCCGCGGUAAUACGUAGGUGGCGAGCGUUAUCCGGAAUGAUUGGGCGUAAAGGGUGCGUAGGCGGCCUGCUAAGUCUGGAGUGAAAGGUACCGGCUCAACCGGUACAGGCUCUGGAAACUG